rnacentral:rRNA from 2 species
AUACGUAGGUGGCAAGCGUUGUCCGGAUUUAUUGGGCGUAAAGCGAGCGCAGGCGGUUUCUUAAGUCUGAUGUGAAAGCCCCCGGCUCAACCGGGGAGGGUCAUUGGAAACUGGGAGACUUGAGUGCAGAAGAGGAGAGUGGAAUUCCAUGUGUAGCGGUGAAAUGCGUAGAUAUAUGGAGGAACACCAGUGGCGAAGGCGGCUCUCUGGUCUGUAACUGACGCUGAGGCUCGAAAGCGUGGGGAGCAAACAGGAUUAGAUACCCUGGUAGUCCACGCCGUAAACGAUGAGUGCUAAGUGUUGGAGGGUUUCCGCCCUUCAGUGCUGCAGCAAACGCAUUAAGCACUCCGCCUGGGGAGUACGACCGCAAGGUUGAA